CCUACGGGAGUCAGCAGUGAGGAAUAUUGGUCAAUGGACGAGAGUCUGAACCAGCCAAGUAGCGUGAAGGAUGACUGCCCUAUGGGUUGUAAACUUCUUUUAUAUGGGAAUAAAAUGUUCCACGUGUGGGAUUUUGUAUGUACCAUAUGAAUAAGGAUCGGCUAACUCCGUGCCAGCAGCCGCGGUAAUACGGAGGAUCCGAGCGUUAUCCGGAUUUAUUGGGUUUAAAGGGAGCGUAGGUGGAUUGUUAAGUCAGUUGUGAAAGUUUGCGGCUCAACCGUAAAAUUGCAGUUGAAACUGGCAGUCUUGAGUACAGUAGAGGUGGGCGGAAUUCGUGGUGUAGCGGUGAAAUGCUUAGAUAUCACGAAGAACUCCGAUUGCGAAGGCAGCUCACUGGACUGCAACUGACGCUGAGGAGCGAAAGCGUGGGUAGCAAACAGGAUUAGAUACCCUGGUAGUC
rnacentral:rRNA from 1 species